rnacentral:rRNA from 1 species
GACGAACGCUGGCGGCGUGCUUAACACAUGCAAGUCGAGCGGUAAGGCCCUUUCGGGGGUACGACGAGCGGCGAACGGGUGAGUAACACGUGGGUGACCUGCCCUCAGCUCUGGGAUAAGCCUGGGAAACCGGGUCUAAUACUGGAUAUGACUCCAUGACGCAUGUUGUGGGGUGGAAAGCCUUGUGCGGCUGAGGAUGGGCCCGCGGCCUAUCAGCUUGUUGGUGGGGUGAUGGCCUACCAAGGCGACGACGGGUAGCCGGCCUGAGAGGGCGACCGGCCACACUGGGACUGAGACACGGCCCAGACUCCUACGGGAGGCAGCAGUGGGGAAUCUUGCGCAAUGGGCGAAAAGCCUGACGCAGCGACGCCGCGUGAGGGAUGACGG